UCCAUACCCUGCUUUAUCUGCUGCCUGGGAGUACGCAGCAUGUGUCUGCUUAUCUGACUACAGCCCUUGGGCCUCUACAAGCACAUUACGUGUGUUCAUCCCCAAAGGGAAACUCGCCUUCCAGAAAAAGAAAAUAAACAAACAAAUUAUACACUCUCUUUUAAAGUUGCCUGCUGACGAUGCAAUUGCUUGCCAUUCGGGACAAUUAGUAAGAAUUUGAAUGCAACUAAGCAAGAAUUUGAAUUGAGACAAGACGGUACCUUUCUUUCUCCACCAUGGUCCCUCGGGGACCGAGUACGAGAGGUCUUUGAACUCGAUGUUGACCGCUGGUCUGCGUGGAAGGGAUGAUUUCUCUCCCGCGUUCUGCAGCAGGAGGGCUGCUGGUGGUGUAGUCACAAGGCUGUGCAUGUGCCUCGGUGGUGAUACGGCUGCUGGCUCCACCACUGCAGUGGACACACUGGAUCAGUUCUACUGAUGAGCCCGUCGCCUUCCUCAGCGACACACCACUACCUGUACACUGAUGUGCCACACCACUACCUGUACACUGAUGUGGUAGUGUCUGUUGUAGCUAUUACACUAUAUGACAGCUACUGUAAAACAUCAUACAUGAGAUAUGUCUAGAUAAGUGAGAUGUUGCUGCAAACAUCACAAACAUUUAAAUUCAUGAAUGAUGCAAAACAUUUUAUGAAUGAAAUAUCAGGAUGUUGACUUAUGUAAGAUUAUAACUUAAUAUGCCAUCGUAUCAAAAGAUUAUCUACAUCACAUACAUUUCAAGCACACCCAAUUUGAGCAAUGUACAGUGAAUAACAUGGAGAGAUACAUCUCUCUCUCUCUCUCUCACACACACACACACACACAAAACAACGGUGAUCUUCCAGGUUAACCAUAAACAGAUGAUAAUAAAGUCUGACAAACACAAACACUCCAUUUGUACUGUUAUCCUCCUUCUUCUACCCCCGGACUGCUGUUCACUUUGCCCUAGAUGCUUGCACUCUCUCUCUCAAACACACACACACACACACACACACACACACACACACACAAACAAUCUCACACAA